GACGAACGCUGGCGGCGUGCUUAACACAUGCAAGUCGAACGAAGAGCGAUGGAAGCUUGCUUCUAUCAAUCUUAGUGGCGCACGGGUGAGUAACGCGUAAUCAACCUGCCCUUCAGAGGGGGACAACAGUUGGAAACGACUGCUAAUACCGCAUACGAUCCAAUCUCGGCAUCGAGGAUGGAUGAAAGGUGGCCUCUAUUUAUAAGCUAUCACUGAAGGAGGGGAUUGCGUCUGAUUAGCUAGUUGGAGGGGUAACGGCCCACCAAGGCGAUGAUCAGUAGCCGGUCUGAGAGGAUGAACGGCCACAUUGGGACUGAGACACGGCCCAGACUCCUACGGGAGGCAGCAGUGGGGAAUCUUCCGCAAUGGACGAAAGUCUGACGGAGCAACGCCGCGUGAGUGAUGACGGCCUUCGGGUUGUAAAGCUCUGUUAAUCGGGACGAAAGGUCCUCUUGCGAAUAGUUAGAGGAAUUGACGGUACCGGAAUAGAAAGCCACGGCUAACUACGUG
rnacentral:rRNA from 1 species